rnacentral:rRNA from 1 species
UCUCAUAUGUUGGCCUGCGAGCGCCCUCGAAUUCACUAGUGAUCAGAGUAUGAUCCCGUUUCAGGAUGACCGCUGGCAGUGUGCUUAACACAUGCAUGUUGAACGUCCUCUUUUUGGGAGUGGCGAACGGGUGAGUAACGCGUGAGGAUCCACCCUUAGGAGCGGGACAACAGCUGGAAACGGUUGCUAAUUAAUUAUAUGGCGAGAGCUGAUAGACUUAUUUCCUGAGGAUGAACUCGCGUCUGAUUAGCUUGUUGAGAGGUAAGGGCUUUCCAAGGCGACGAUCAGUAGAAAGUCUUAGAGGAUGAUCAGCCACUCUUGGACUGAGACACGGCCCUGACUCCUACGGGAGGCAGCAGUGGGGAAUUUUCCGCAAUGGGGGCAACCCUGACGGAGCAACGCCGCGUGGGGGAGGAAUGUCUGUGGAUCCAAACCCCUUUUCUCAGGGAAGAAGGUCUGACGGUACCUGAGGAAUCAGCAUCGGCUAACUCCGUGCCAGCAGCCGCGGUAAGACGGAGGAUGCAAGCGUUAUCCGGAAUUAUUGGGCGUAAAGCGUCCGUAGGCGGUUCAUCAAGUCUGCUGUCAAAGGCUGCAGCUCAACUGUGGACAGGCAGUGGAAACUGAGGAACUUGAGUAUGGUAGGGGUAGAGGGAAUUCCCAGUGUAGCGGUGAAAUGCGUAGAUAUUGGGAAGAACACCAGUGGCGAAGGCGCUCUACUGGGCCAUAACUGACGCUGAGGGACGAAAGCUAGGGGAGCGAAAGGGAUUAGAUACCCCUGUAGUCCUAGCUGUAAACGAUGA